ACCUUUGCUCGGUUUGGCUUUUAGGGGCAACUCUCAGAGUUACCUUUAUUUAAAAAAAAAAAGAAAAAGAAAAAAAUAAUCUGCUCUUGAAGGAGAACGCUGGGUCUGUCUUCCGAGACACUUGGCAUCAAUAACGGAUAACUGAUCCUGGAGACUGAGGAAACAAAUAUCAGCUCAAAAUGCUUACAGCCUUUAAAAGAUUUUCCAGGAUGCGGGUUUGGGAGAGAAAACCUAAGCACAGCCCAGCGAAUUGCCUGCGUUGACCGGUUGGAGCCGAAAGUUUGGGGGAGACCAAGGCAGGGAGAAGACACAAACUGGGUGCUUACUCCUGAUCAUGGUGAAUGGUGGCUGUUUUGUCUGCAGUUUUACCACUUCUCUAGUGCUGCCACAAUCUGCUGAAUUCUCUUUUGUUCUCUGCAGCCCCCUGACACUCAAGAUUUUAAACUAAUGAAGAUGAAGAAGGAUGAGGAGGAGGAAGAAGAGGAACUAUUACAGAUUGGUCUUACAUCAUGGAUCCUGAUUCCAGAAGUAUCAGGAGCUCUUUCAAGAAAUUAAAUGACCCGUCACCACUGCCUUCAUCCAAACAGACUAUUUAAGGCUUUGACUGCCAUCUGUCAGUCAGAUGCAGAUCCAGUUCUCUGAGCAGCCCCGUCUGGUGUUGGACUCAUCUCUGCGGGCUGGCUCUUCCUUUCUGACACACUCUGCUGCAGCCGCUCUGGCAACAUCUCGUUCCCUGGAGACAGGAAUCCUUCCAAGGUUUAAGAUGUUGUGUUUUUUACAAAUUGAAUGUUUGUGGACACCCUACAUGGAGCAAGUCUAUCGGCACCAGUUUUCCAACAGCAUUAUUUUUUAAUUAAGGUCCUAAAUGGAUUGGAUGAUGCCUGAUUCAAAUGCUAAUUUCUUCCGGAGACACCUUCACAAACAGAAGCAGAAAUAAUAUUUUACUAGCUAUCUGAG